rnacentral:rRNA from 1 species
UACCAGCUCUCCGAGUGGUAGGGAUGAUUAUUGGGCUUAAAGCGUCCGUAGCCGGCUUAGCAAGUCUCCUGUUAAAUUCAGCGACCUAAUCGUUGAGCCGCGGGAGAUACUACUAGGCUAGGAGGCGGGAGAGGCCGACGGUAUUCUCGGGGUAGGGGUGAAAUCCUAUAAUCCCGGGAGGACCACCAGUGGCGAAGGCUGUCGGCUAGAACGCGCUCGACGGUGAGGGACGAAAGCUGGGGGAGCGAACCGGAUUAGAUACCCGGGUAGUCCCAGCUGUAAACGAUGCGGGCCAGGUGUUGGGGUGGCUACGAGCCACUUCAGUGCCGCAGGGAAGCCAUUAAGCCCGCCGCCUGGUGAGUACGGCCGCAAGGCUAGAAACUUAAGGAAUUGGCGGGGAGCACCACAAGGCGUGAAGCUUGCGGUUC